UACGUAGGGUGCAAGCGUUAUCCGGAAUUAUUGGGCGUAAAGAGCUCGUAGGCGGUUUGUCGCGUCUGCUGUGAAAACCCGAGGCUCAACCUCGGGCCUGCAGUGGGUACGGGCAGACUAGAGUGCGGUAGGGGAGAUUGGAAUUCCUGGUGUAGCGGUGGAAUGCGCAGAUAUCAGGAGGAACACCGGUGGCGAAGGCAGAUCUCUGGGCCGUAACUGACGCUGAGGAGCGAAAGCAUGGGGAGCGAACAGG
rnacentral:rRNA from 1 species